rnacentral:rRNA from 1 species
UACGUAGGGACCAAGCGUUGUUCGGAUUUACUGGGCGUAAAGGGCGCGUAGGCGGCAUGACAAGUCACUUGUGAAAUCUCCGGGCUUAACUCGGAACGGCCAAGUGAUACUGUUGAGCUAGAGUGCAGAAGGGGCAAUCGGAAUUCUUGGUGUAGCGGUGAAAUGCGUAGAUAUCAAGAGGAACACCAGAGGUGAAGACGGGUUGCUGGGCUGACACUGACGCUGAGGCGCGAAAGCCAGGGGAGCAAACGGG